rnacentral:rRNA from 1 species
GACGAACGCUGGCGGCGUGCUUAACACAUGCAAGUCGAACGAAGUGGCGAACGGGUGAGUAACGCGUAAUCAACCUGCCCUUCCGAGGGGGACAACAGUUGGAAACGACUGCUAAUACCGCAUACUGAAGGAGGGGAUUGCGUCUGAUUAGCUAGUUGGAGGGGUAACGGCCCACCAAGGCGAUGAUCAGUAGCCGGUGUGGGAGGAUGAACGGCCACAUUGGGACUGAGACAAGGCCCAGACUCCUACGGGAGGCAGCAGUGGGGAAUCUUCCGCAAUGGACGAAAGUCUGACGGAGCAACGCAGCGUGAGUGAUGACGGCCUGCGGGUGGGAAAGCUCUGUUAAUCGGGACGCGGUACCGGAAUAGAAAGCAACGGCUAACUACGUGCCAGCCGCCGCGGUAAUUC